AAUGAACGCUUGUGGCAUGCCUUACACAUGCGAGUCGUACGCGAAGAGGUUUAUUAGAACUUCGGGAGUGGCGAACGGGUGCGUAGUGCGUAGAAAGGAUGCUCCAAAGUCCGGGCCAAACGGAGACGUUAAUCCUGGAUAGAAUGCUUUCGAGAGAAAGUUAGCAAAGGAAAUAUUUCUGCUUUGGAAUUCCUCUACGUAGGUUUAGGUUGUUGGUGGGAUUAGAAGCUCACCAAGCCGAUGAUCCUUCGCUGGUCUGAGAGGACGACCAGCCACAUUGGGACUGAGACAAGGCCCAAACUUUUACAAGGCAGCAGUGUGGAAUCUUGGACAAUGGGGGAAACCCUGAUCCAGCAAUGCCGCUAGGGCGAUCACGGCUGUAAAUAGAUUUAGGCCGUAAAGCUCUGUCGCCGAGGAAGAUAGUGACGUUACUCGGAAAAGUAGCCCCGGCGAACCUCGUGCCAGCAGCCGCGGUAAUACGAGGGGGGCGAGCGUUAUUCGGUCAAACUGGGCGUAAAGUGUCUUUAGGUGGUUUGGCGUGUGUUUGUGGCAAAAGUCCGAGACGUAACCUCGGGGAUGUCCACAAAGACUGCUUUUCUUGAGUUUUGGAGGGGUGGGCGUUAUUCCUUUAAGAGAGUUAAAAUGCUUUGACUAAAGGAAGAGGGCCAUGGGUGAAGACAGCCCACUAGUCAAAACUGACAUUAAAAGACUAAAGCAUGGGGGAGCGAUCGGGAUUAGAGACCCCGGUAGUCCAUGCCUUGACCUAUGAGAGUUAAAUGUCGGGGGGUAAGCCCUGGUGUUAAAGCUAACGCGUUAAACUCUCCGCCUGAGGAGUACGGCCGCAAGGUUGAAACUCAAAGGAAUUGACGGGGGCUCUUUACAAACGGUGGAACAUGUGGUUUAAUUCGAUGAUCCGCGCAUAACCUUACCAGCCUCGACUAGGUGUUGCAUGGCUGUCGUCAGCCCGUGUCGUGAGAUGUGUCGCGCAAGCGUGUAACGGGCAUAACCCUUCUCUGUCAUUGCCAUUCGGAGAAAAGCAAGGCGUUUCUCUUUGUUUUUUAUGAGGCACUUGGCAGUAUGUCCAAGGGGUGAACAAUAGAUUUUUUUGCCGAAAAGCAAUGAAACUAUACUUUUCCACUCCUUGGAGGAAGCGGGGGAUGAGGUCAAGUCGUCAUGGCCCUUAUAGGCUGGGCUACUCAUGUGUUACAAUGGCGGUUACAAAGGGUCGCGAGGGUGUGAACCGGAGCGAAUCCUAAAAUACCGCCCUAGUUCGGAUUGCAGGCUGCAAUUCGCCCUGCAUGAAGUCGGAAUCGUUAGUAAUCGUGGAUCAGCACGCCACGGUGAAUGCUUUGGGGCCUUGUACUCA
rnacentral:rRNA from 1 species